rnacentral:lncRNA from 1 species
UUUUGGUGGGUUUUUGGAUAUGGAUGGUGUCAUGGCCCGACCUAGGUUGAUGUUUGAUUUCUUAGAGGAUUUUGUGGACAAAGUAUGGGUGGAUGGUGUUAUAGGUUCUUACAUCCCUCUUGUUAAUUAUUUAUCUAUCUUGUUAAAUGUUCAGAAUUCAGAUCUAUCUGGUUAUAUAUUCGGAACUCAUUCGCUGCUAGUCGUCUUAUGUUC